UUUUUUUCAAAACAAAAUGUAAACUUCUCUAAACACUCUUGUUUCAUCAUUCUCAGUAAAUUGAUUUCAAAUCAAAGCUAGCAUUUUAUAAAUUUUCAAGCUUUCAUUAAAUAUUUUUCUACAAUCGAUCAGAGUUUUUCUUUAGAAACAUCAAUUUCCAAUUUAUUAAUACAAAUAAAUUUAUUAUUAACUUUAAUAUGUUGAAAGCAAUUCAAAUUACAUUAAUUGUUUGCAUUAUAAUUGCAUUUAGCAAAAUUAAUGCCCAUACAAUUUAUAAAAGGGAUGUUCCGGAAAAUUCAGCAGCACCAGCAGUAACUACUGAGACUGCGGUAAUAGAAACUACGGUACCGGGAAUUGCGGUGACAGAAACUUCGGGAACAAUUGCUGCAUCUACUUCUAAAAAAGUCGAGGAAGGAUCAAAAACUAUUUCUGUCCUGACAACUACUACUCCAAAAUCGAAAAAAAUAAAAAUUCAUACCAAGUCAAAGCCUAAAAAUAAUGCAGGAUUGAAAAUUGGAUUCGAUGGGCAGUACAUCUUUAAAGCAAUGAUUAUUUUAAAUGUGUUUUAUGUUGCCAAAUUGUUUGCUUAAUAUUUUUCUUCUUACCAUUUGUUUAAAUAAAUUUUUAAAUUUUUAAUACAAAA